UGGGGAAUAUUGCACAAUGGGGGAAACCCUGAUGCAGCGACGCCGCGUGAACGAAGAAGGUAUUCGUAUCGUAAAGUUCUGUCCUAUGGGAAGAUAAUGACAGUACCAUAGAAGAAAGCUCCGGCUAAAUACGUGCCAGCAGCCGCGGUAAUACGUAUGGAGCGAGCGUUGUCCGGAAUUAUUGGGCGUAAAGGGUACGCAGGCGGUUUAAUAAGUCGAAUGUUAAAGAUCGGGGCUCAACCCCGCAAAGCAUUGGAAACUGAUAAACUUGAGUAGUGGAGAGGAAAGUGGAAUUCCUAGUGUAGUGGUGAAAUACGUAGAUAUUAGGAGGAAUACCAGUAGCGAAGGCGACUGUCUGGACACAAACUGACGCUGAGGUACGAAAGCGUGGGGAGCAAACAGGA
rnacentral:rRNA from 1 species